GUGAAUCAUCGAAUCUUUGAACGCAAAUUGCACUCUCUGGUAUUCCGGAGAGUAUGCCCGUUUGAGGGUCAGUCUAAAUAAAAAUCGGUGUGGUUGCUGCCUUUCGUGGUGAUGCACCGGAUUUGGGUUGUCUUGAUUUCGGUUAUGUGACCUAAAAUUAUGCAUGAUUUUUUUCGAACGUAUUUUAAUGAUUUUUUCUACGUCUGCGAUAUUGUAUACUAGGUGU
rnacentral:misc_RNA from 1 species